rnacentral:rRNA from 1 species
UAUCUCUGUAGAGUCUGCAUAUCAAUAAGCGGAGGAAAAGAAACUAACAAGGAUUCCCCUAGUAACGGCGAGUGAAGCGGGAAGAGCUCAAAUUUGAAAUCUUAAAGGGUUUCCCUUUACGAAUUGUAGUUUAAAGAAGUGUUUUCUGUUGGGGUUUUGGUAAAAGUUCUUUGGAAUAGGACAUCAUAGAGGGUGAGAAUCCCGUAUUUGACCUUUACUUUCAACUUUGUGAUACACUUUCAAAGAGGGAUUGUUUGGGAAUGCAGUCCAAAAUGGGUGGUAAAUUUCAUCUAAAGCUAAAUAUUGGCGAGAGACCGAUAGCGAACAAGUACCGUGAGGGAAAGAUGAAAAGAACUUUGAAAAGAGAGUUAAACAGUACGUGAAAUUGUCAAAAGGGAAGCGUUUGACACCAGUGUUGUUUUCUCGAAAAUCAAUUAAAGAAUGCUUGAUUUUGUAAGUUGUAUUAGACCUUAUAAGCUAAUGUCUUCAGCUUUUUCAUGUCUUUUUUAAUGCACUUUUCAGUUUAACAAGUCAACAUCAAUUUCUUUUGUUGUAAAAAGGUCAUUGAGGAAGGUGGCUUGCGAUUUCGUAUAAGUGUUUAUAGCCUUUGCCUCUGCAGUCGGAGAGAUUGAGGUCUGCAGCGUAGAUCCUUCGGGGUUAAAUAGCAUUUGUGCUAAGUUAUAGCCUUUCAUAGACAACUUGUUGACUAUGAUCUGUCAUGUAGCUUACUCGCUUAUGCUAUUUUACCUACGCUUAGGAUGUUGAUAUGCAUGACUGAUAU